GAGCCCAAUUUGAGCAUUUUGGGCUAAACACCCCACACUCAUCCAUCUCAUUCCAGAGGCUGCGCUCUGAUACCAAAACGCUGCGUUGAGGUCGUCGGAGACGGGAGGGCUCCAGUCGUGGGCCGAUUCUAAAAUUCAAGCAGUUUAUUCGAUUGCCUAUGCCAUCGCUUCCGGCUCUCGAUCUCUAUUGUGUACUUGAUUUGCUCUGCAUUGCUACCUGUUUAUGCUUGCUUGGGGAGGGGGUGAGUGGUGGCUCUAUUUUGUUUUGGGAGUCCAAAUUUUGUUUGGUUUUGCGGAGUAAAUAUGAUGCAGCUUUUGGAGAUAGCGUUGGUCGAUGAAAUGGAUAAAGCACCUGACCUGACACACUGCAACCUUGCUCUGUUGAUGGUCUGGUGGACUUGUUACCAUCUGUUACCAGUAGUUCUUGUGGUAAUGAGUUUGAUAACCACACUAAAUGUGGUCCUCAAGGCUGGGCAGUUGCUCAUGUGGGGUGCAGUCAACGUUUGAUCGUGCUGUGUAAGUAACUCAUUGUGCUCCCAGAUAAUGUUUGAUGAGAAGAUGGUUGGGACAAACUUCUGUAAGAGACCAUCCUUUAAUUUGAGGAUUAUAAAGCUACUUGGAAGUCUCACGAAGAAAAUCCAUAUAUUGAAUAUGAUGCCUCAAAACAUUUGAACAGCUACGCAUUUGAACAUCUAGUGCAGAUGAUAUUCCCUUCCUCAAAACAAUGGAUGGAUGAUCUGAUCAUCUGAUGUAUCUUAUCUUUUUCCUUCAUUUGGAAGGAGUGAAACUGAGGCCAAAAGUGGAGAAGUCAUAUUCUAGUUGCACAAAAGCUACUUGCAUCUCUGAAUUGGAAAAUGUGGUUUUCCAUGAAGACGAAGCCCAUUUUGGAGACCUUUUCUGUGAAAGUGGUCGUGGUCUACAGAAGGAUAUGAUCAGCCACCAGUUGUUGCUAACUCUAGCUCCAUCUGGUUUUCAUAUUGAGAUUCUUCUUGUGACAUUUCACUUAUAGUCUGAAGGGGAAAAAGCAUCACAUGCAAAGUUAAUAUUUUCUGCUCACAGAACAAUUGGUGGUCCAACAGUACACAUUUGUCUUGCUGGGCUUUACUGGUUUCAAGUUUGAUUUUAGUGCUUCGCCAGAUGAUAUUUUACCACAGACUUGUCCUUUAUCUUUGCUUGUUUGUAUAUCUACGAUCCAAGUUGAGCCACGCUCCAUACUGCAGUUCACAGCUUGGGGUGAACGAUCAUUUGUCAUCUUGGGUUUCCAUUGUAUUUGAAAAUGUAAUGACUGCAUUGUUUGAAGAAGAGCCUGACAUAAGUCCUUGAUUCAUCAACUGAUUGAUAUAUCUUCCCUCCUUGCCUCGCUGUCAACAGACUCGUAAUAUUGACAAAUUAUGCUUGAGUUGGGAUGACAUCUGUUCAACCAUGUCAUCAAUUCUGGGGUUCUGGAAAGCUAAACACGCGGCAGUUGUGGAGGAUCUUGGUAUUGAAAGAGACAUUUUCGUACUUUGUUGUGACUUUCCAACUAUUGGCACUGCAAAGGACCGUCAGCUUCCUUUAGGGAGCAAUCCAGACUCUUUAACACUUCUGAAAUAGCAAAUAUCUGUUACUUCA